CCAAGUGAGGCCUUGGAGGACCUCGAUGGUCAUAGAGUUGUUGGAUGACCCCGAUAACACCAUGGAGGACCUCAGCUGUGAUCAUAGAGUUGUUGGAGGACCCAAGUGAGGCCUUGGAGGACCCCAGUGAAACUUGGAGGACCUCAGCUGUGACCAUAGA
rnacentral:lncRNA from 1 species